rnacentral:tRNA from 2 species
GGCUGCAUAGCUCAGUGGUAGAGCACGAGUCUCAUGAGCUCGGGGUCCUGGGUUCAACUCCCAGUGCAGCCA